AAUGUAUCAUUUCAAGAAAUUUUUAUUUUUUAAUAAAAUAUGUAUUUCAAUUAUGAACAAUUGUAUCUAAAACUAGCAAUUUGUUAUUGAAAAUUUUCGAAUUUUAGGAGAAUUUGUAUUUUGGAAACGUCUUGCAAGUUUUAUGUAUGUCGAACAAUUCUUGAGGGGGACACCCUGUAUGUUGUUGAGAUUUUUCACUUCUCCUAAAAUAUCCUGCCGAAUACAAGUGUGGUUUUUGCUCUCGUGAUUUAUGCAAAUCUUCAAUAAAUUCAAUUUUCUUAUGCAUACAUAAGAACAUACAUUAUUAUAUAUUAAAGAGAAAGAAAU